GCAUGGCAGAAUACUGUGUUUUAUUUAUCAGUAGUUUAUAUAGCCAGGCACCAUGCAAAAAAAUAAGAGCAGUCUUCCCUUUAAAGUGGUUAUGAUGGUAUGCUACCUUUUUUCAUAGCAUGUCAUUAUUGAAGGGAAAUACAAAU